GCCCAGACAAGUUAGAGAGCAGGCCAGGAAAACAGGAGCAGGAAGAAUUGGGAGCAGAUUUUAUAAAGAAUGGAGGACCAAAAGCAAAGCUGCCCUCCAUCCCGGAAGAGUCCGAAGGACCUUCUACAAAAUGAGGGACUCACGUGGCCUCAGACUCGCUCUCUAGCCAAGGGUAACCUCUAACUUGCUGAGCCUCUAGGAAGACCACAGCAGAUACCCAAGCUCUCUGCAAAAGCUCCUCAAAUUCCAAUCUCUUCUGGACCCUUCAAGUGCUGGGAUUGCAGGUGAAGCCCAUGUUUGUGUAUGUGAGUGAAUAGCACAUAUGUGCAGGUAUCCUGGAAGCCAGAGAGGGUUGAGGACUUGGAACUAGAGUGAUAAAUAGUUGUGAGCCAUUUGGAGUGGGUACUAGAAACCAAAAUCCGAUCCUCCCCCGGAAAAGCAAGUGUUCUGAAGCCAUCUCCCAAGUUCUCAUCACCAUAAACUCAAAGAAGCACACACAGCUGGGCCUGUCUUUAUUUAUCCCUGUGUUCCAGAGGCGUGAGAGUUCGAGUGAACUUUCAUUCCUACAGCUAGUCAACAGCAGCAGUGUGUACCCAGUCUUCCUGCCUCCAAUACCCCUGCCCGCCUAGCCACCAUACGCUACCAUCCUUC
rnacentral:lncRNA from 1 species